rnacentral:tRNA from 1 species
GGGGCGUUCGGUCAGGGCCUCGACCAGCUGGUCGAGGCGGUCGACCUCGACCUCGAUCUUGACCAGAUGGCCGGCGAAGGCGCGGGCGCGGCGGAUCGAUUCCGCCACGCCGCC